rnacentral:rRNA from 1 species
AACGAACGCUGGCGGCAUGCCUAACACAUGCAAGUCGAACGAGACCUUCGGGUCUAGUGGCGCACGGGUGCGUAACGCGUGGGAACCUGCCCUUAGGUUCCGAACAACUCCCCGAAAGGGGUGCUAAUACCGGAUAAUGUCUUCGGACCAAAGAUUUAUCGCCUUUGGAUGGGCCCUCGUUGGAUUAGCCAGUUGGUAGGGUAAAAGCCUACCAAGGCGACGAUCCAUAGCUGGUCUGAGAGGAUGAUCAGCCACACUGGGACUGAGACACGGCCCAGACUCCUACGGGAGGCAGCAGUGGGGAAUAUUGGACGAUGGACCAUAGCCUGAUCCAGCAAUGCCGCGUGAGUGAUGAAGGCCUUAGGGUUGUAAAGCUCUUUUACCCGGGAUGAUAAUGACAGUACCGGGAGAAUAAGCUCCGGCUAACUCCGUG